GUUCGUUUGUUAAUUUAUACUCCGGAAAUUAAAGGAGCAUUUAAUAUCUUUCACCCAUCUGCAUAAUUGCAGAAUGUGAUGUGACCGAUUCAUGAUACGGCAAACGAAAUCUGCACAAAUAAAUUUUACGAAUAUCAUUGCCGGUCAUCGCCACUACUUGCAUGAAGUGGCGCGAGAAUCGCGUUGUUGAGCGUCGAGGUUUUGCCGCCUGGUUUUCCAGUGCGGUUAGGUUACGCGUUGCUUCUUACUCCUGCGCGUUUAUGGAUUUUUAUUGAUGCAUGAAGAAACUAUCGCUUGUCUGCAAUUGAAUGCAAAAAUAGAAUCUGAACAAAAUGCCAAAACUACGGAUAUCGCAAACUGUUUUAAAUGCUCGUCCAUCCAACAUGACAUUAAAUUUGGAGUGUACAGAGGAACCUCUGAGUGAAGCCCAGCUAACAUCAAAUACAAAACUCAAAGAGGAUUGCGAUAAAGUUGCAGUUAUUUUAGAAGAAAUCUUUAAAGAAGG